rnacentral:rRNA from 1 species
GACGAACGCUGGCGGCGUGCUUAACACAUGCAAGUCGAACGGUGAACCUGCUUCGGUGGGGGAUCAGUGGCGAACGGGUGAGUAACACGUGGGCAACCUGCCCUCAGCUCUGGGAUAACUCCAAGAAAUUGGGGCUAAUACCGGAUAUUUCCGCUGACCGCAUGGUCUGGUGGUGGAAAGAUUUAUCGGCUGGGGAUGGGCCCGCGGCCUAUCAGCUUGUUGGUGGGGUAGUGGCCUACCAAGGCGACGACGGGUAGCCGGCCUGAGAGGGUGACCGGCCACACUGGGACUGAGACACGGCCCAGACUCCUACGGGAGGCAGCAGU